rnacentral:lncRNA from 1 species
AACCACGUAAAAAAUACCAUUAAAUUUAAUCAACCGUCCAGAUUUAUUAGAAAUCAAAAUGAUAAUAUCCAGGCAUUUCUCACACAAUCAAGCCACCACCCUCAACAAAUUGUUCAUUGAAAAAUUAAUCCAUGAAACGUAAAACACUAUAUUGCACAAGAACAAUGACAGUCCCACAACAAUGAUUAUUAUUUUUUAUUUUUUUUGGUACAACACAACAAUGAUUAUUAGAGAAUAUGAAAGAUGAAUUUUCUGGAAAUUUCAAAAACCUCAAAUGUUUGAUUUCAUGUUCCCGUGUUAAAUUCAAGUUUAAAGUAUGAACCACCCAUUCAACAUUGCAAUCUAUUUUGAAGUAACCAUAUCUCUUCCCAUAAAAGAGAAAAGAGUAGCAAUAUUAUAAAAAAGAAAUAAAAGAAAGAAAUAUCAGGCUGAAGAAGUAGGGACAUGAAUUGGAUGGAGGAAAGUAGUCAAUGUUCCUCUUUUGUAAGUACCCAAAGGGAGUAGAACAGCAAAGGGGCAAGAGACGAGAGGGAGAAGAAAAGAAAGAGAGGUGCAAUAUAGUGUAUAUGGUGUAUAAUAAGAUAUGUGUACUUGAUU